rnacentral:rRNA from 1 species
AACAAACGCUGGCGGCGUGUCUUAAGCAUGCAAGUUGAGCGGCAAGGAGGAGAGAUCCUCCCUAGAGCGGCGGACUGGUGAGUAACGCGUGGGUAAUCUAUCGUAGGCAUGGGGAUAGUCACUAGAAAUAGUGGGUAAUACCGAAUACGUUCCAUGAGGGGAGUAUUCAUGGAAGAAAGGGUGCUACGGCACUGACCUUAGGUGAGCUCGCGUCCCAUUAGCUAGUUGGUGAGGUAAAGGCCCACCAAGGCGAUGAUGGGUAGCCGGCCUGAGAGGGUGUACGGCCACACUGGGACUGAGAUACGGCCCAGACUCCUACGGGAGGCAGCAGCUAAGAAUAUUCCGCAAUGGACGAAAGUCUGACGGAGCGACGCCGCGUGGAUGAAGAAGGCCGAAAGGUUGUAAAGUUCUUUUGCUAGGGGAGAAUAAGUGAGGGAGGGAAUGCCCUCAUGAUGACAAGGACUAGCGAAUAAGCCCCGGCAACUACGUGCCAGCAGCCG